GGCGGUGUAGCUCAGUUGGUCAGAGCACACGGUUCAUACCCGUGGCGUCGCUGGUUCGAGUCCAGCCACCGCUACCA
rnacentral:tRNA from 2 species